rnacentral:rRNA from 1 species
UAGCAUAUCAAUAAGCGGAGGAAAAGAAACCAACAGGGAUUGCCUCAGUAACGGCGAGUGAAGCGGCAACAGCUCAAAUUUGAAAUCUGGCCCUAGGCCCGAGUUGUAAUUUGCAGAGGAUGCUUUUGGUGCGGUGCCUUCCAAGUUCCCUAGAACGGGACGCCAGAGAGGGUGAGAGCCCCGUACAGUUGGACACCAAGCCUUUGUAAAGCUCCUUCGACGAGUCGAGUAGUUUGGGAAUGCUGCUCAAAAUGGGAGGUAUAUUUCUUCUAAAGCUAAAUACCGGCCAGAGACCGAUAGCGCACAAGUAGAGUGAUCGAAAGAUGAAAAGCACUUUGAAAAGAGGGUUAAACAGCACGUGAAAUUGUUAAAAGGGAAGCGCUUGUGACCAGACUUGCGUCCGGUGAAUCACCCAGCUCUCGCGGCUGGGGCACUUCGCCGGCUCAGGCCAGCAUCAGCUCGCUGUCGGGGACAAAAGCUUCGGGAACGUAGCUCUCUUCGGGGAGUGUUAUAGCCUGUUGCACAAUACCCUUCGGCGGGCUGAGGUACGCGCUCCGCAAGGAUGCUGGCAUAAUGGUCAUCAGCGACCCGUCUUGAAACACGGACCAAGGAGUCAACCUUAUGUGCGAGUGUUCGGGUGUCAAACCCCUACGCGUAAUGAAAGUGAACGCAGGUGAGAGCUUCGGCGCAUCAUCGACCGAUCCUGAUGUUCUCGGAUGGAUUUGAGUAAGAGCAUAUAGGGUUGGACCCGAAAGAAGGUGAACUAUGCGUGUAUAGGGUGAAGCCAGAGGAAACUCUGGUGGAGGCUCGCAGCGGUUCUGACGUGCAAAUCGAUCGUCAAAUAUGCGCAUGGGGGCGAAAGACUAAUCGAACCUUCUAGUAGCUGGUUUCCGC